rnacentral:rRNA from 1 species
GAUGAACGCUGGCGGCGUGCCUAAUACAUGCAAGUCGAGCGGACGGACGAGAAGCUUGCUUUUCUGAUGUUAGCGGCGGACGGGUGAGUCACACGUGUAUAACCUACCUAUAAGACUGGGAUAACUUCGGGAAACCGGAUCUAAUACCGGAUAAUAUUUUGAACCGCAUGGUUCAAAAGUGAAAGACGGUCUUGCUGUCACUUAUAGAUGGAUCCGCGCUGCAUUGGCUAGUUGGUAAGGUAACGGCUUACCAAGGCAACGAUGCAUAGCCGACCUGAGAGGGUGAUCGGCCACACUGGAGCUGAGACACGGUCCAGACUCCUACGGGAGGCAGCAGUAGGGAAUCUUCCGCAAUGGGCGAAAGCCUGACGGAGCAACGCCGCGUGAGUGAUGAAGGUCUUCGGAGCGUAAAACUCUGUUAUUAGGGAAGAACAUAUGUGUAAGUAACUGUGCACAGCUUGACGGUACCUAAUCAGAAAGCCACGGCUAACUACGUG